rnacentral:lncRNA from 1 species
GCAGAAAAACUAUUAUAAAGAAACUGAAAUCUUAAUAAAUUUAACCAGGUGUGAUGGCAGGCACCUCUGAUUCCAGCUACUUGGGAAGCUCAGGCGGGGGCCUCACUUGAGCUUGGGAAGUUGAGGCUGCAGUGAGCUGUGAUUGUGACACUACACGCUAGCCCGGGCAACAGAACGAGAAAAAGAAACAAGAAUCUGGAAUCUUACAAGGAUCCAAGAUGUCAGGGAAUAAUGAGCUCUCUGAAAGGUCUAAAGUUGAUUUUGCUUCAGACUAUCAGAAAGACGCUGGGGAGACAUCAGCACAGGCCUGGAGGGGAGCAAAUACAUACAUCGCUUAUAGAAACACCAAAUAUUCUUACAUGAUUUUUGGAAUAGACUUGACUCCAGGGAUAGUUUUAGGACGUGCUUCUGGGAACAGUGCCCUUUGGAUCCGGAUUGAGUAUAAUGCCCUGUGCAGACAUUUCUCUACCUGCAGAAGGAGCCCGCCAGGCUUAUGGUGUUGCUAGCAGGAGGCAAAAGGGAUUGUGUGGAGUGGGUCUUUCAGCUUCACAAGGAGGAAUGCACAGAAGAAACCCUUUGGCUUCCAGAUAGCAAUUAGCUUGAAAAUGAC